ensembl:snRNA U6 U6 spliceosomal RNA
GUGCUCACUUCAGUGGUACAUAUACUAAAAUUGGAACAACACAGAGACGAUUCACAUGGCCCCUGCACAAGGAUGACACACAAAUUUGUAAGCAUUCCGUAUUUUU